rnacentral:lncRNA from 1 species
AAAACAUUAGCUCAGACCGAUUUUGCGAUCGUCGAGCAAGUUCAGUCACAAUCAGUAGUUCAAACGCGCUCUUGAACAACGCUCGAUGCCGCAUUCCGCGAAACCGGCUGAGUGCGAGACCCAAAAAUCCUAAAGGGAAGGAAGUGCUCAGCGCAAGUAGUCUCCACUUUACCGCAGGAUUUUUUGCCACUUAACAUGAAACUACCUCAUUUUUCGUAAAACCGCAAGAAUCCAAUAACGUGUUUCUCUAUCAGUAUUGAUCCAAAGGAAAGGAAGCAUGAGUGCAUCCAGAUGGCUCAGUUUCCUGCUAGCAGUGACUUUGAAUGUGAUUUUGGUCAGCUCAGCUCCACAUUUGAGGGCUGAUGACUUCAGUUUUGUGAUUU